GACGAACGCUGGCGGCGUGCCUAAUACAUGCAAGUAGAACGCACAGUUUAUACCGUAGCUUGCUACACCAUAGACUGUGAGUUGCGAACGGGUGAGUAACGCGUAGGUAACCUGCCUGGUAGCGGGGGAUAACUAUUGGAAACGAUAGCUAAUACCGCAUAAUAUUAAUUAUUGCAUGAUAAUUAAUUGAAAGGUGCAAUUGCACCACUACCAGAUGGACCUGCGUUGUAUUAGCUAGUAGGUGAGGUAACGGCUCACCUAGGCGACGAUACAUAGCCGACCUGAGAGGGUGAUCGGCCCCACUGGGACUGAGACACGGCCCAGACUCCUACGGGGGGCAGCAGUAGGGAAUCUUCGGCAAUGGACGAAAGUCUGACCGAGCAACGCCGCGUGAGUGAAGAAGGUUUUCGGAUCGUAAAGCUCUGUUGUAAGAGAAGAACGGGUGUGAGAGUGGAAAGUUCACACUGUGACGGUAUCUUACCAGAAAGGGACGGCUAACUACGUG
rnacentral:rRNA from 1 species